GAAACUGCGAAUGGCUCAUUAUAUAAGUUAUCGUUCAUUUGAUAGUGCCUUACUACUUGGAUAACCGUGGUAAUUCUAGAGCUAAUACAUGCUAAAAACCCCGACUUCGGAAGGGGUGUAUUUAUUAGAUACAAAACCAAUGCCCUUCGGGGCUCCUUGGUGAUUCAUGAUAACUAUACGAAUCGCACGGCCUUGCGCCGGCGAUGGUUCAUUCAAAUUUCUUCCCUAUCAACUUUCGAUGUUUGGGUAUUGGCCAAACAUGGUUGCAACGGGUAACGGAGGGUUAGGGCUCGACCCCGGAGAAGGAGCCUGAGAAACGGCUACUACAUCCAAGGAAGGCAGCAGGCGCGCAAAUUACCCAAUCCCGACUCGGGGAGGUAGUGACAAUAAAUACUGAUACAGGGCCCUUUCGGGCCUUGUAAUUGGAAUGAGUACAAUUUAAAUCCCUUAACGAGGAACAAUUGGAGGGCAAGUCUGGUGCCAGCAGCCGCGGUAAUUCCAGCUCCAAUAGCGUAUAUUAAAGUUGUUGUGGUUAAAAAGCUCGUAGUUGAACCUUGGGCCUGGCUGGCCGGUCCGCCUCAC
rnacentral:rRNA from 1 species